AAAUACUUUUGAAAGAAACUGAGCUUCAAAUGAAUCAUUUUCUGAUUAAUAUUUCUAUACAUUUUCUCUAAGAUUAGGAGAAAGCAUAACUUGUUCUUAAAGGAUUAGAAAGAGUGAUUACUAUAAAUUUUGAAUAAUUCUAGAUCACUCUACAUUCUCGAUAUCAUAAGAAAGAAUGAUUAAAGAGGAAUGCAUCUUUCGAGGGGGAGCUUUAGAUAUUCAGUAUCUUCCAAAAAUUACUUUAAUUUGAAGCAUACCUUGAUUUUUAUGGAUUGAUUUUGAUGAACCUCUUUAUAUUGCAAUACUUGCUUUAAUUAUAAGUUUAUACCUUG
rnacentral:lncRNA from 1 species